GGGGAUGACGUCAAGUCCUCAUGGCCUUUAUGUCCAGGGCUACACACGUGCUACAAUGGCCGGUACAAACCGCUGCAAACCGACGAGGGUGAGCCAAUCGGAGAAAGCCGGCCUCAGUUCGGAUUGCAGUCUGCAACUCGACUGCAUGAAGCUGGAAUCGCUAGUAAUCGCGGAUCAGCAUGCCGCGGUGAAUACGUUCCCGGGCCUUGUACACACCGCCCGUCACAUCACGAAAGUGGGUUGUACUAGAAGCAGGUGAGCUAACCGCAAGGAAGCAGCCUUCCAAGGUGUGAUUCAUGAUUGGGGUGAAGUCGUAACAAGGUAGCCGUAA
rnacentral:rRNA from 1 species